GGAGGUGACAGGUGUCUGGUGGUGCCCCUGGUCUUCAAAACCAGUGAGGGGUUCGCAAGAGUCCCAGGUGGGUUCGAUUCCCAUUCACCUCCGCCA
rnacentral:tRNA from 1 species